rnacentral:rRNA from 1 species
CGACAGGCUUAACACAUGCAAGUCGAGGGGCAGCAUUUUAGUUUGCUUGCAAACUGAAGAUGGCGACCGGCGCACGGGUGAGUAACACGUAUCCAACCUGCCGAUAACUCCGGAAUAGCCUUUCGAAAGAAAGAUUAAUACCGGAUGGCAUACGAAUAUCGCAUGAUAUUUUUAUUAAAGAAUUUCGGUUAUCGAUGGGGAUGCGUUCCAUUAGUUUGUUGGCGGGGUAACGGCCCACCAAGACUACGAUGGAUAGGGGUUCUGAGAGGAAGGUCCCCCACAUUGGAACUGAGACACGGUCCAAACUCCUACGGGAGGCAGCAGUGAGGAAUAUUGGUCAAUGGACGAGAGUCUGAACCAGCCAAGUAGCGUGAAGGAUGAAGGCUCUAUGGGUCGUAAACUUCUUUUAUAUGGGAAUAAAGUUUUCCACGUGUGGAAUUUUGUAUGUACCAUAUGAAUAAGGAUCGGCUAACUCCGUGCCAGCAGCCGCGGUAAUACGGAGGAUCCGAGCGUUAUCCGGAUUUAUUGGGUUUAAAGGGAGCGUAGGUGGAUUGUUAAGUCAGUUGUGAAAGUUUGCGGCUCAACCGUAAAAUUGCAGUUGAAACUGGGAGUCUUGAGUACAGUAGAGGUGGGCGGAAUUCGUGGUGUAGCGGUGAAAUGCUUAGAUAUCACGAAGAACUCCGAUUGCGAAGGCAGCUCACUAGACUGUCACUGACACUGAUGCUCGAAAGUGUGGGUAUCAAACAGGAUUAGAUACCCUGGUAGUCCACACAGUAAACGAUGAAUACUCGCUGUUUGCGAUAUACAGUAAGCGGCCAAGCGAAAGCAUUAAGUAUUCCACCUGGGGAGUACGCCGGCAACGGUGAAACUCAAAGGAAUUGACGGGGGCCCGCACAAGCGGAGGAACAUGUGGUUUAAUUCGAUGAUACGCGAGGAACCUUACCCGGGCUUAAAUUGCAACAGAAUAUAUUGGAAACAGUAUAGCCGUAAGGCUGUUGUGAAGGUGCUGCAUGGUUGUCGUCAGCUCGUGCCGUGAGGUGUCGGCUUAAGUGCCAUAACGAGCGCAACCCUUAUCUUUAGUUACUAACAGGUUAUGCUGAGGACUCUAGAGAGACUGCCGUCGUAAGAUGUGAGGAAGGUGGGGAUGACGUCAAAUCAGCACGGCCCUUACGUCCGGGGCUACACACGUGUUACAAUGGGGGGUACAGAAGGCGGCUACCUGGUGACAGGAUGCUAAUCCCAAAAACCUCUCUCAGUUCGGAUCGAAGUCUGCAACCCGACUUCGUGAAGCUGGAUUCGCUAGUAAUCGCGCAUCAGCCAUGGCGCGGUGAAUACGUUCCCGGGCCUUGUACACACCGCCCGUCAAGCCAUGAAAGCCGGGGGUACCUGAAGUACGUAACCGCAAGGAGCGUCCUAGGGUAAAACUGGUAAUUGGGGC